rnacentral:lncRNA from 1 species
CCUCACUCAUGAUGCCAGCAGGCUGCUCUAUCGCUACCCGCAUCUAGAGGCCUCAAGCAAUGUGGUCACUUGAUCCUAGACUGGAACCUCUAGAACCAAGAGCUAAAUGAGACUUUUCUCUUAUGACUUAAUUGCCUCAGAUGCUCUUAGCAUAGUGAUUAUUAUGGCUUGUGUUUAGAAGCCCCCUAAAGUCUCAUGCAGGUGAAGUGGGGCUUUCUUUUUCAGAGGUGGUUCAAUCUGAAAUGUGUGAUGCUGGGGUUAAGGGCAUGUGAUUAAUAAACCAGUGAGUGAUUGGUUUGGCACCGCCCUAAGCUUGGCAGUCUGGAUAAAAUAAGAGGAACAAAAGACGCUGUUUGCUUUUGCUACCCUGUGAGCACCACGGACUGUUUCUCUUCUGUGACACCUCUCUGCUGUGUGCUACUCUGCCUUGGAGACAGCUGACUAUGGACAAAAACCUCUACAAACUGUAGAUAAGAACCUAAAGAUUAAAAUCAGAGAGAACUGCAAAGAAGAUCAGAAAUUUAAUAUAUCGGGAAGAUCAAGGCCCUCAAUUGUUUAUGGAGCCUGAUAGAAGUUUCAUCAGGUGCUACUGACUCUUAGGACUCAGAAGGUUCCCCUCUCUCCUGUGUUUGAGCUGUUCCAGUUCUCAGCCUGAACUUCGCACCCCUCAUACAGUGGCCUGGGGAUUUCUGAAUCUGUCACACCAUGAGCAAGCAGAAGAGGAAGAGCAAUAUUUCUGGACUAUUCAUCAAGACAUCUCAUUCCACAAGCAGCAUCUGACUUUGUUAAGAAACAAAAAGGCAUUCAACCAGAAGCCAGAGGCAACAUGAUUUAUGGGGUUGGAAGAAUCAUUGUUUUAACCAUCUCAAAAUAGAAUCUUCUCUAUAAGAGCAAGGAUCAUGUUUCAUUUCUGAAUGCUACUGCCUAGCUCAGCAUCUGCUACACAGCAGGCACUCAAUAAAUGUAUCUUGGAUGAAAGGAG